rnacentral:rRNA from 1 species
GAUGAACGCUGGCGGCGUGCUUAACACAUGCAAGUCGAACGGAAAGGCCCAAGCUUGCUUGGGUCCUCGAGUGGCGAACGGGUGAGUAACACGUGGGUGAUCUGCCCUGCACUUCGGGAUAAGCCUGGGAAACUGGGUCUAAUACCGGAUAGGACGAUGGUUUGGAUGCCAUUGUGGAAAGUUUUUUCGGUGUGGGAUGAGCUCGCGGCCUAUCAGCUUGUUGGUGGGGUAAUGGCCUACCAAGGCGUCGACGGGUAGCCGGCCUGAGAGGGUGUACGGCCACAUUGGGCCUGAGAUACGGCCCAGACUCCUACGGGAGGCAGCAGUGGGGAAUAUUGCACAAUGGGCGCAAGCCUGAUGCAGCGACGCCGCGUGGGGGAUGACGGCCUUCGGGUUGUAAACUCCUUUCGCUAGGGACGAAGCGUUUUUGUGACGGUACCUGGAGAAGAAGCACCGGCUAACUACGUG